UACGUAGGGUGCGAGCGUUAAUCGGAAUUACUGGGCGUAAAGUGUGCGCAGGUGGCUGAGCAAGUCGAGUGUGAAAUCCCCGGGCUUAACUUGGGAAUUGCGCUCGAAACUACUUGGCUCGAGUGUGGCAGAGGAAGGUGGAAUUCCAGGUGUAGCGGUGGAAUGCGUAGAGAUCCGGAAGAACACCGGUGGCGAAGGCGGUCUGCUGGGCUGUGGCUGACGCUGAUGCGCGACAGCGUGGGGAGCAAACAGG
rnacentral:rRNA from 1 species